ensembl:lncRNA
GCUUCCUCUAAUUCAGAAGCUCAUUGGGAUCAUAACUACGGCUCGCCCCAUCGCAGGGCUCCACCUGUGUCCUCACACAGUUACAGAGCUCUGUUUGUGCCCUCACCCAGUCACAGAGCUCUGUGUGUGCCCUCACCCAAUAAGAGCACUCCAUCUGUGCCCUCACCCAAUCAGAGCACUCCAUCUGUGCCCUCACCCAAUCAGAGCACUCCAUCUGUGCCCUCACCCAAUCAGAGCACUCCGUCUGUGCCCAAUCGGAGAAGAAAGAAGCGUGGCAGGGCUGAGGGCGCAGAGGAGACAUGUCCAGAGGAGGUGUGUCCAGAGGAGCCGAGUCCAGAAGGGAAGAGGAGGAGGAAGCCGACCAUGAAGGCACAGGCUCUUCAGCAGGACCAGGCCAAACGGAAAAAACAGAAGCUGAGUCGAUCUGAUAAAAAACAAGAAACAAAACCUCGGAAAAGAAGAAUCUCCUUACCUGAUACAGCCUUGCCUCCUACAUCUUUACCUCCUACAUCCUUACCUCCUACAUCCUUACCUCCUACAUCCUUACCUCCGACAUCCUUACCUCCUACAUCCUUACCCCCUACAUCCUUACCCCCUACAUCCUUACCCCUACAUCUUUACCUCCUACAUCCUUACCUCCUACAUCCUUACCUCCUACAUCCUUACCUCCUACAUCCUUACCUCCGACAUCCUUACCUCCUACAUCCUUACCCCCUACAUCCUUACCCCCUACAUCCUUACCUCCUACAUCCUUACCUCCUACAUCCUUACCCCCUACAUCCUUACCCCCUACAUCCUUACCCGCUACAUCCUUACCCGCUACAUCCUUACCCGCUACAUCCUUACCCCUACAUCCUUACCUCCUACAUCCUUACCCCCUACAUCCUUACCCCCUACAUCCUUACCCGCUACAUCCUUACCCGCUACAUCCUUACCCGCUACAUCCUUACCCCUACAUCCUUACCCCCUACAUCCUUACCCCCUACAUCCUUACCCCUACAUCCUUACCCCCUACAUCCUUACCUCCUACAUCCUUACCUCCUACAUCCUUACCCCCUACAUCCUUACCCCCUACAUCCUUACCCGCUACAUCCUUUACCUCCUACAUCCCUACCUCCUGCAUCCUUACCCCUACAUCCUUACCCCCUACAUCCUUACCCCCUACAUCCUUACCUCCUACAUCCUUACCUCCUACAUCCUUACCCCCUACAUCCUUACCCCCUACAUCCUUACCCCUACAUCCUUACCCCUACAUCCUUACCUCCUACAUCCCUACCUCCUGCAUCCUUACCUCCUACAUCUUUACCUCCUACAUCCUUGCCUCCUACAUCCUUACCCCCUACAUCCUUACCCCCUACAUCUUUACCUCCUACAUCCCUACCUGCUACAUCCUUACCCCCUACAUCCUUACCUCCUAUCUCCUCACUCCCUAUGCUAAUUUUCAGACAUCUUCCCUCUAGUCCAUCCUUAAACCACCCCCUUGUGUCCUUCCCUCCUCAGUUUGCUUCCUUUGUGUGUCCUACGUCCUUGCCUCUUAACCCUGUGUCCACUCUGUCUGUCCCGCCCUCUAAGGCCCCCGUGCCUCCUUCCUUUAUUCCCUCGUCUCCUGUGUUGACUCCUCCACUGACCCGCCGGUUCCCCCCUCCUCAUCCUGAAGCCCCACCCGCAGAGCUCUGCGAUUGGCUGGGUGCAGGGCAGGAGGGGCAGUGGGCGGUCUCUCGUUGGCUGAGUGGCGAGGGGGGCGUGUCCGCGGAGACGGUGAAGCUGCCAUACUUGCCGCCGUUCACGUGUAACCUCAAGACGCUGAGCCUGCUGCUGCAGAGGAAAGACGAGCUGCGACGGGACGCAGAGUGGUUACUACGGAAACCGACCACAGCGCAGCGGGGCGGAGCCAGGACGCACAUUAAAACUGAAGCACAAGCUGGAGAAACGAGAGCUGAGGCGCAGGCCCAGACGACAUCGGCCAAUGAGAGCGCCCCAAGUCAAACGGGAGAAGAGCUGAGAGCCAAUCAGGAUGGAGAGACGACAACACACGAAGCGUCCACUGAAACUAACAGGCCGGCCAAUCAGGGCUCAGCAGACGGGUCAGAGCCGUCGUCCAAUCAGAAGCCGCCAGAGGAGGCGGAGCUUACAGAGGCUGUUCGGCGAAUCGUGAGGGAGCGCUUUGGCUCAAACCCCGCCCACCAGCUGCUCUCAGCGCGUUUCCUGUCAAUCUUCACUCUGCCCGCCCUCCUGGCCUCGCUGCAGCCAAUCACAGGCCAGGAGGAGGGGGCGGAACUGCCAAUCACAGUGCAGGAGGAGGACAAAAGGGGCGGAGUUUGAUAAAUAUUAACUUUCUGUAAAACUCCUGAAUGAAUGUGACAGCUCAGUAUAAAUAUUAGUUUAACAUGGAAAUGAUAUUUAUGAAGACACUUGGCCUGAGGGGGGCGCUGUGUGGUCACUGUAGGGCCGUGGCAACAGAUUCAACUGAACACAUCUGAAAGUCUGUAAAAUAACUUCAGCUUUAUGCAUUUAUACAGGGCUUUUUCACCAUUUUCAGGAACACAGUUUUUCUACAUCCAAUAAAAGAAAUGAAACUCAUUUUGAUUAUAGUCAAACGGCAGGUCCGGUUGCUGCAGUUGAGAACCGUUCUCGUAGGGUCCACAGUGUGAACUGACACGUGUAUAAUGUAAAUAAUAUUUGUUCAAAUAAAGUAUUUUAUUAUUUUAUACAUGACUUAUUUUAUUCAGGGAGGCAUCUGAGAGGCCUUUCAGGUGUACAGUUUGUAGACCAAAGGAGAGGCCUUUCAGGUGUACAGUUUGUAGACCAAAGGAGAGGCCUUUCAGGUGCAUAGUUUGUAGACCAAAGGAGAGGCCUUUCAGGUGUACAGUUUGUAGACCAAAGGAGAGGCCUUUCAGGUGCAUAGUUUGUAGACCAAAGGAGAGGCCUUUCAGUAGCUCAGUUUGUAGACCAAAGGAGAGGCCUUUCAGGUGCACAGUUUGUAGACCAAAGGAGAGGCCUUUCAGGUGUACAGUUUGUAGACCAAAGGAGAGGCCUUUCAGGUGUACAGUUUGUAGACCAAAGGAGAGGCCUUUCAGGUGCAUAGUUUGUAGACCAAAGGAGAGGCCUUUCAGGUGCACAGUUUGUAGACCAAAGGAGAGGCCUUUCAGGUGUACAGUUUGUAGACCAAAGGAGAGGCCUUUCAGGUGCAUAGUUUGUAGACCAAAGGAGAGGCCUUUCAGUAGCUCAGUUUGUAGACCAAAGGAGAGGCCUUUCAGGUGCACAGUUUGUAGACCAAAGGAGAGGCCUUUCAGGUGAACAGUUUGUAGACCAAAGGAGAGGCCUUUCAGUAGCUCAGUUUGUAGACCAAAGGAGAGGCCUUUCAGUAGCUCAGUUUGUAGACCAAAGGAGAGGCCUUUCAGUAGCUCAGUUUGUAGACCAAAGGAGAGGCCUUUCAGGUGCACAGUUUGUAGACCAAAGGAGAGGCCUUUCAGUAGCUCAGUUUGUAGACCAAAGGAGAGGCCUUUCAGUAGCUCAGUUUGUAGACCAAAGGAGAGGCCUUUCAGUAGCUCAGUUUGUAGACCAAAGGAGAGGCCUUUCAGUAGCUCAGUUUGUAGACCAAAGGAGAGGCCUUUCAGGUGCACAGUUUGUAGACCAAAGGAGAGGCCUUUCAGGUGUACAGUUUGUAGACCAAAGGAGAGGCCUUUCAGUAGCUCAGUUUGUAGACCAAAGGAGAGGCCUUUCAGUAGCUCAGUUUGUAGACCAAAGGAGAGGCCUUUCAGUAGCUCAGUUUGUAGACCAAAGGAGAGGCCUUUCAGGUGCACAGUUUGUAGACCAAAGGAGAGGCCUUUCAGUAGCUCAGUUUGUAGACCAAAGGAGAGGCCUUUCAGGUGAUCAGUUUGUAGACCAAAGGAGAGGCCUUUCAGGUGUACAGUUUGUAGACCAAAGGAGAGGCCUUUCAGGUGUACAGU